AAAGCGUGCGCAGGCGGUUAUACAAGACAGGCGUGAAAUCCCCGGGCUUAACCUGGGAAUGGCGUCUGUGACUGUAUGACUAGAGUGUGUCAGAGGGGGGUAGAAUUCCACGUGUAGCAGUGAAAUGCGUAGAUAUGUGGAGGAAUACCAAUGGCGAAGGCAGCCCCCUGGGAUAACACUGACGCUCAUGCACGAAAGCGUGGGGAGCAAACAGGAUUAGAUACCCCAGU
rnacentral:rRNA from 1 species